rnacentral:lncRNA from 1 species
GCUCUACACAUUCAGGCCAUUCUGGGAAGAAACCGUGUGUUGCUACACACACACAGAAGACCAGGCAGGGUCUCCUGGAAGAGUGGGAGCUCAUGAUGAUGCUUACAGCUUCCAAUCUAUCAGGGUGAAGGCGGGAAGCCCUCACGGCCUUCCAGACCUGCCACUGCUUUUUGCCAUGAUGUGCUCACCAAGGCUCAUGUAUCCGACACUUGCUCUUAAGCUCGGUGGUUUGAGGUCCUCCAGAGGUGGAAGUCUGAAUAAAACCAGGUCCUCUCUACCCCUUGGCUUCCUGCCUCACCAUGGCAACUCUUCCUCUCAUUUGUAGUUUCAUCAUUGUGUGACACAAAGAUCCUUCAUGAGACACUAUGUUCCUUAAUACCCCAGACUAUGAGCUAAAUAAACCUCUUUUCUUUAUAAUGU